CUUCCGUCCAGAUACGCAGGAAGGAGGAAAAAAUUAAUUUUUUUCCUUCCUGUUUCCACGUUCGUUUCGUUAAGCUCUCUCCUCCGUUCGUUAAGCCUCAACCGCAGCUAGCCAGAGAAUGGAAUAUCAACUUUUCUCUCGCAGUACUCGCAAUGCUGAGGCGGGGCUGCUGUAUAACGUCGUUGCUGGCAAAAGUGAGAGUGAGAGUGUCGAUUCUCGACUCGAAUCGUCCGUGUGCCGUCUGUCUCGCUCUCCGACCGCCGCGCGGCGCCCUCGAAUAGCUCGAAUCCUUCGGAUAUACGAAACGAAAGAGCACCACGCCGCAGCACCGCAGUGGCAGCACCGAUGCAUAAGCGAACCACGCCGGCUCGCCCGUCAUUUUUCCCUUCCUCUUUCUCCCUCGUCGUCUCUUCCCCUCUCGUGCUUUUUUUUAUUCACUUUGCUCUCGUUCCCACUCCCUCGACCCUGUCCUUCGUAUACGGUUUCAAGGUUCUUCUAUACCUAUGUCGUUCCUCGCGCGCGAGCCUCCCUUACCCAAUUCUACAUUGCUUGCGAUAUAUAUAGAAUGACACGCAGGAGACAGAUAUAUUAUACGAAUAUUCGAACAAAGAAAAUCACUUUAAACGAGCCGGCCUGUUAAUAUUUGACCUAUAAAUUGAAAAAUAAAGUUUUAUUCACA